rnacentral:rRNA from 1 species
UACGGAGGGUGCGAGCGUUGUCCGGAUUUAUUGGGCGUAAAGAGCGUGUAGGCGGCCAUACAGGUCCGUUGUGAAACUGGAGGCUUAACCUCCAGACGUCGAUGGAAACCGUAUGGCUAGAGUCCGGAAGAGGAGAGUGGAAUUCCUGGUGUAGCGGUGAAAUGCGCAGAUAUCAGGAAGAACACCCGUGGCGAAGGCGGCUCUCUGGGACGGUACUGACGCUGAGACGCGAAAGCGUGGGGAGCGAACAGG